GACGAACGCUGGCGGCGUGCUUAACACAUGCAAGUCGAACGAUGAAGCUAGAGCUUGCUCUGGUGAAUUAGUGGCGAACGGGUGAGUAACACGUGAGUAACCUGCCCCGAACUCUGGGAUAACUGCUGGAAACGGUAGCUAAUACUGGAUACGACCUACGAAGGCAUCUUCUGUAGGUGGAAAGAAUUUCGGUUCGGGAUGGACUCGCGGCCUAUCAGCUUGUUGGUGAGGUAAUGGCUCACCAAGGCGACGACGGGUAGCCGGCCUGAGAGGGUAACCGGCCACACUGGGACUGAGCCACUGCCCAGACUCCCACGGGGGGCAGCAGUGGGGAAUAUUGCACAGUGGGCGCAAGCCUGAUGCAGCAACGCCGCGGGAGGGAUGACGGCCUUCGGGUUGUAAACCGCUUUUAGUAGGGAAGAAGCGAAAGUGACGGUACCUGCAGAAAAAGCACCGGCUAACUACGUGCCAGCCGCCGCCGUAA
rnacentral:rRNA from 1 species